rnacentral:rRNA from 1 species
UACGUAGGGUGCGAGCGUUGUCCGGAAUUAUUGGGCGUAAAGAGCUCGUAGGCGGUUUGUCGCGUCUGCCGUGAAAGUCCGGGGCUCAACUCCGGAUCUGCGGUGGGUACGGGCAGACUAGAGUGAUGUAGGGGAGAGUGGAAUUCCUGGUGUAGCGGUGAAAUGCGCAGAUAUCAGGAGGAACACCGAUGGCGAAGGCAGGUCUCUGGGCAUUAACUGACGCUGAGGAGCGAAAGCAUGGGGAGCGAACAGG